UUUAAUUCGAAGCAACGCGAAGAACCUUACCAGGUCUUGACAUCCUCUGAAAACCCUAGAGAUAGGGCUUCUCCUUCGGGAGCAGAGUGACAGGUGGUGCAUGGUCGUCGUCAGCUCGUGUCGUGAGAUGUUGGGUUAAGUCCCGCAACGAGCGCAACCCUUGAUCUUAGUUGCCAUCAUUAAGUUGGGCACUCUAAGGUGACUGCCGGUGACAAACCGGAGGAAGGUGGGGAUGACGUCAAAUCAUCAUGCCCCUUAUGACCUGGGCUACACACGUGCUACAAUGGACGGUACAAAGAGCUGCAAGACCGCGAGGUGGAGCUAAUCUCAUAAAACCGUUCUCAGUUCGGAUUGUAGGCUGCAACUCGCCUACAUGAAGCUGGAAUCGCUAGUAAUCGCGGAUCAGCAUGCCG
rnacentral:rRNA from 1 species